AUGGUGGGACAAAAAUAAGGUGCAUUAGGUGUUGAGUUUACCCAAAUCUUUACGGUUAAAUGAGAACUUUAAAGAAGACCAACUUUAUGACAAACUGCUUCAAUGCCCAAAUACAAAAAGAGGUCAUUUCAGUUCAUGCGUAUUUUUUAUCUUUCUAACCCACCUGGCAGGGUCUGUAAGAGCAGCCAUAUCUGCAGACUUCCUGCUCCCCUGAGACACUCUGGCAUGCAGUGUGAUAGUGACCUCAGUAGCCCCAUCAUCAGCAUUAGAGCAGGGAGUCCGCCGAUGGGUCUGACAGCACAGAAAAUACAUGGUUAUUUUAACAAGAAGAAUGCACACACACAACUGAACUGAAGUCUGAAUUAAUGUGACUAUCCUCAGCACAGACCAGUUUUGCUGGCCAGGAUGAUAGACAUCUACUAUAAAACCCACCAAAUAAAACUCAGAAUUAUGAUGAAAUUUCAGGAUAUUGCAAUCAGCCAAUUAUACUUAUGUGUUUCAAGUUCUCCAACUGUUACUGAAUGUUACAAAUAAUAUACCAGCUGUUUUAUGAAAUACACCAGGUAUGUGCUAAAAUUUGAAUGGUACUUCAGUGGACAGAGGCAACACAAUGGGCAAAAUUACUAAGGAGACAAUAUCAACCAGAGUUUCAGGUGUAGCUGACUUUCCUUUGUGAAAUUAGCUAAUGCCAUUAUGGCAACAUAUACAUAAUUACUUAUAAUUACUUUCUUAUUUAUAAUUUGUACAUAUGCAGCUAAUAACAUGUAACAUCAUCAUUUUGUAUUAAAAGAAGCAUAUAUAAAAAUGGGAGUAAGCACUAACAGGACUGACUAGUCAAAAACAAAUCUUUUUAAAUAAAAGAUUGCAUAUAUAGCAGUCAAUUUGCUAACACUAAUAAUCUUUCAUUUGAUUAAGCAAAUACCCAGAGGUAGUACUCCAUUGCGUGGAGGUACAGCUUGAAAGUAAUAGAAUCAAACAAUUACAGAACUGGAAGGGACCUUGAGAGGUCAUCUAGUCCAGUCCCCUGCACUCAUGGCAGGUCUAAGUAUUAUACAGACCAUCCUUGACAGAUGUUUGUCUAACCUGUUCUUAAAAAUCUCCAAUGAUGGAGAUUCCACAGUCUCCCCAGGCAAUUUAUUCCAGUGCUUAACCACCUUGACAGCUAGGAAGUUUUUCCUAAUGUCCAACCUAAACCUCCCUUGCUGCAAUUUAAACGCAUUACUUCUUAUCCUGUCCUCAGAGAUUAAGAAGAACAAUUCUUCUUCCGCCUCCUUGUAACAACCUUUUAUGUACUUGAAAACUUAUGUCCCCUCUCAGUCUUCUCUUUUCCUGACUAAACAAACCCAAUUUUUUCAAUCUUCCCUCAUAGGUCAUUUUUUUCUAGACCUUUAAUUGUUUUUAUUGAUCUUCUCUGGACUUUCUCCAAUUUGUCCACAUCUUUCCUGAAAUGUGGUGCCCAAAACUGGACACAGUACUCCAGUUGAGGCCUAAUCAGUGCAGAGUAGAGCGGAAGAUUUAAUUCUUGUGUCUUGCUUCCAACACCCCUGCUAAUACAUCCCAGAAUGAUGUUUGCUUUUUUUGCAACAGUGUUACACUGUUGACUCAUAUUUAGCUUGCGGUUCACUAUGACACCCAGAACUCUUUCUGCAGUCCUCCUUCUGAGACAGUAAUUUCCCAUUUUGUAUGUGUGCAACUGAUUGUUCCUUCCUAAAUGGAGGACUUUGCAUUUGUCUUUAUUGAAUUUCAUCCUAUUUACUUCAGACCAUUUCUCCAGUUUGUCCAGAUGAUUUUGAAUUUUAUCCUAUCCUCCAAAGCACUUGCUACCCUUCACAGCUUGGUAUCAUCCGCAAAUUUUAUAAUUGUACUCUCUAUGCCAUUACCUAAACCAUUGAUGAAGAUACUGAACAGAACCGGACCCAGAACUGAUCCCUGCAGGACCCCAUUCAUUAUGCCCUUCCAGCUUGAUUGUGAACCACUGAUAACUCCUCUCUGGGAAUGGUUUUCCAACCAGUUAUGCACACACCUUAUAGUAGCACCAUCUAGGUUGCAUUUCCCUAGUUUGUUUAUGAGAAGGUCAUGUGAGACAUAUCAAAAGCUUUACUAAAGUCAAGAUAUACCACAUCUGCUGCUUCCACCCAGCCACAAGGCUUGUUACCCUGUCAAAGAAAGCUACCAGGUUGGUUUCACAUGAUUUGUUUUUGACAAAUCCAUUCUGACUGUUACUUAUCACCUUAUUAUCUUCUAGAUGUUUGCAAAUUGAUUGCUUAAUUAUUUGCUCCAUUAUCUUUUCGGGUGCAGAAGUUAAGCAGACUGGUCUGUAAUUCCUCGGGUUGUCCUUAUUUCCCUUUUUAUAGAUUUGCACUAUAUUUGGCCUUUUCGAGUCUUCUGGAAUCUCUCCCAUCUUCCACGACUUUUCAAAGAUAAAUGGAUAAUGGUGGAUUUAAGGCUGAUCCAUGGAUCUGGAUCCAAUUCUCCAAAGAGCUCCAUAGUAUAAUUAGCGAUUGUUGUGACAUCGCAAAGCAAAAUUUAUGACAUAGCAAAGCAAACAAUACAACACCGGUCUAGGCCUCCUUCCCGAAUUAAAUCAUCCCUGUCCAGAAACUUUAAUCUAGAAAAAACGAUGACUUUGAGUUGACAGAGCUCAGAAAAAAAGAACACACUCCAAGCAGGGGGAGCACCUUUCUGUGAAGAGUAUUAGCAUCCUUAACCCAGGACACAAUGUGAAGGCUAGGGAGAAGGAGAGCGAAGAUUUGUUGCGUUACAUAUAAAUCACUCACCAUUGGGUCGUACUAGGAGCACAAG